ACGGGGGGUGCGAGCGUUGUCCGGAAUCACUGGGCGUAAAGGGCGCGUAGGCGGCUUUGUAAGUUAGAGGUGAAAGCCCGAAGCUUAACUCCGGAACUGCCUUUAAGACUGCAUCGCUAGAAUUGUGGAGAGGUAAGUGGAAUUCCGAGUGUAGAGGUGAAAUUCGUAGAUAUUCGGAAGAACACCAGUGGCGAAGGCGACUUACUGGACACAUAUUGACGCUGAGGUGCGAAAGCGUGGGGAGCAAACAGGA
rnacentral:rRNA from 1 species